ensembl:lncRNA
CCCGUUUAAGGGCUGACUGCCACUAAGGAGGCUCUCUUCCUGAAGAUUGCUUCUCUUGGAGUUCCCCCCCCCCGUAAGCUUACAACUUGGCUAUAAAUGAGACAGUUAAUGAACUGGAAGCAUUCUUCUGGAAUUACUGUCAGCUGUGAAGAAUAUGGUAACACUUAUGGAACUGCUCCCAAUAGUGAUUUCAAGACCUGCUUCUGAGUGAACAGAAUGUAUCUUAUCCUGUAAGAAAAAUGGGAUAUAGCUUCUAUAUAUCAUACUAACAUUGUACUUCCUAGAAGGUACAUCUGUAUUGCCCUUGAGUCUAUCAGCUACUACAUAUUGGUAAGAUCAGAAUGUUGUUGAGUUUCUUUACUGAAAGAGACAGGUACAUUUUCAAGUCAAGCCCUAGGGUAUUACUUUGCGUUCAGUGCAAAAUAGACCUGUGUGAUCUGUAAUCAUUAUUUCUACUGUCCCUUGCCUUCUGUGUAACCUUUCCCCUCUGUGGCCAAGCAAUCUUCUUGUGAAAGACGUGAGGAGUUUCCAGUGUUGUAAUUGUAUGCAUAACCUUCAUGGAUAUUCUAUUAUAUGUCAGUCUCUGAUUUAGAUAUACCCCACCAAUAUUUUUUUCUCUUGUAAUCUCUGUUAAUAUUUGGUUUUCACCUACUAUGAGCUGGCAUUGCUGUUUUCCUGGCAUAAAUAUAUUUAUACUCUGUUGGAAUUCCUUAUUAAUAGCAUGCCUGUUUUUUUUUCAGUUUUUCACAUUUAAAACGCUGACUUUUAAACACGUUUUUGGAUGUUCAUCUACUUUACCUGUUUUUUCACACUUUCAAAAUGUUAUUUGUUUUUCUAUUUAUUUUCAGACAUGAGAACUGUUUGUUUGUUGAUUAGGUAUAUUGUUGCUUCUGUGGUAGACCAAACCUUUCUUAAAAUCACAGAUGUGAAUUUUGUUCAUGUUUAAAUAUAAACAGAACUUGAGGACUGCUUCAUAUGCUCUAGAAAUAUUUACUCAUCCCAGUAAACGAAUCUCACCAACAGUUUCUGGACUUCAGAGAAUUUAUUUCCAACAUUAUCCUGGCUGAAUUAAUUUUAUACUUACUACAAAUGCAGCUGUCAUUUUCUCACUUUAUCAUUAAACUCAGGUGUUCUGACAUCUCCAAUUUAAUUACAAAAAUGCAUGUCACAUGCACUCUUAUCUUUCUUGCUGACAAUAAUUUUUAUCUCUUUAGCUGGCAUAUUGUACUAAAUGUCUUUUCACUUUUUUUCCAAUAACAUUAGUCUGGUAACAAAAUCUAUCUCCAUAAGCUUGCGUUUCAUGAGUCAUUCUAUAUGCAAAAGAAGUAAUCUUGACUUUCGUGGAAGACAAGCUCCAAUCAUUCGUUCCUAACAACCAAGUUUUAGCAGAUUUGUGUUACUUCUGCAUUUUUAGGACUGUCGUACUUUAGUAUUUGUCUUUGGAUACUUUGAAGAUUUAGGUGCUGUGAUUGUUAGUUCUUCUUGUGAUUAUGAUCUCUUUUUUACUAGUCAAAAAAAACCUGUAGGAAUAUUUCCUUUCCUCUUGCUGUAUAUUUUCCAUUUGAACUAAAAUUAAGGAGUGCUGUCGAGGAAUAGCAGUAGAUCAAUGACUUAAAAGUUAAGGAAAGCUGGAUGAUAACUCCAUUGAAUAGUUCUGGGAGAAAUAUAACAGGGAAAAUCAUCUUAAAAAAGAAGUUUCCUAGUAAACACCUGCCAUUUCCUACAGCAGACCUGUCAGCAAACUACACCAUAGCUGGAAUAGAGAGUAGAGGGCAGGAAACUCUGGAAUUUACUUUUUUUCAGCCGCUUGGAUCUAAAGAAUAUCUGCUUGAAUUAAAUGUGAUGAAUCUACUCCUUCUGAAAAGAUGUUUCUCAAAAGAAACAUGCACAGGAAAAACACCUGAUUGUAUCUUGGUCAUGAAAUGAGUACUUUCUGGAUACAAAAGGAGUGGAGAAAUAGAAGAACACAUGGAAAGUAUGCAACAGAAAGGCUGAAUAUGCUUGUAAUAUGGUUUAGAGUGUGCUCAUUGGCAGCCAACCUUGACCACACUGUGAAACAGAGUGCAAUACAAUGUGAUCUCCGUUCCAUAACUGCAGGCAGAGAACAACAGAAAAAGGCACUUCUCAUAUGAAAUUCAGGGAGGUAUAAUGAAUACUAUUUAUAAGGGCAGAAUUACAAGAUUAUUGCAAUAUAUGCUGUUUGAACUCUGCAGCUUGAAGGUAGACAAAUCUAUAGAAUGCUUAAAAUUGGGCAAUGUGUGCUGGGGUAUGCUUGAAUGCCAAGAAGUUUAAAUGCAUGUAUUUUCCAUUUUGAUGUGGUCAUGCCCGUAGUUGUGGGAAUACAACAAAAUCUAUUCAGAGCAGAAGCUGUGGAGCAAGAUAAACAGCAUGAGAACCAAGGACACCUUUAGAAGAAGAGAAAAAGCAAAAGAAAUGACUCAUGGCUCUGAUUGGAUAAGCACCCGCAUGCACGGAUAAGGAGUGUUUGUAGAAUACUCUGUUGUCAAGUAAAGGUGGAUGGGAAAGUUGUAAGGGCAGAUGGGAAAGCUAAAAAAAAAAAAAAAAAGGAAACUUGUGAAUGUAUAUAAGUAAUGUGAGAACUUGUAAUAAAUGAUUUGGAUUGUUCACAUUUGAGUCCAUGCAUCAGAUGCUGCACAUAGUAACUGCACUGUAUCUUUGUCAAAUAUGUAAAUUAAUUCCUGUAAUUUUCAUAACUAUUAUUGUGCUAUACCUUUAUUCCCAUCUGUAAAAAAGUCAUAAUUUACCUGUCAGUGUAUGGAGAUGACUUCUUCCCAUCUCUAACUUUCCAAAGGACUGUAGUUUUGUUGCCUGUUGGGAAAAGACCUGAAGUUCACUGUAAUUAACUCUCAGAUCCCUUACGUCGUGUAGCUUUCUUACUUCUUCUGAAAUGGACACUAAUAUGGAAUUACUGACAGCUAAAGCUUCAGAAAGCAGUGUAAAUGAAUUUUGAAAGAAAAUUGGUGCAUAUGAGAGAAUGUAAGUUAGGUUGAAUGUGUCUGACAUGCACAAAAACAAUCUCUUCUGAGCUUCUUAUAAAGAAGAAAUCUGCUACUUGCUUUACAAAAAAAGAAAAGCAAAUGUUCAUUGCAAUUGAAGUAGAACUUGGAAGUGAAGAAUUCAGCUUAUGAGAAAAGUCCUGUUUUUAGGGGGAGACUCUCUCUGAACUAAAUUUAGUUUUCUCAGUCUUUUCAAAUUUUCCAUACAGAUUGAUGGUACAAUGAAGCCUAAGAGGUUUGUUUGUUGGCUUGUUUUUUUAAACAAACAAACAAACUUUGAAAUGCAAUUAUUCCAUAAACAUAUAAAAAUAAAACAUAUACAUAAAAUAAAAAGCAUUGCAGUCCUACUGUUCUAUAGACAAAACAAAGUUUAGGUAAUAUUUUAAUGCAUUAGGACAAAUUAUUAUCCUUAGUGCCUUUAAAGUAUGUGAUAAUAAUUGCUUUCUGCUGAGACCGUAACUGAUGUCAGCUACAUAUCCAUAGUUUAUGCCCAACUGUUCUAUGAUUCCUAUGGCAGAUCCAUUUUACCUUCUUACAGUGGGUGUCUGUCUAACUCUGGAUGGAAACAUGCCUGACGUUCAACAAUUGGAUAAAGUGGAUGAGGUUUUGAAAUUCAUUUAAAGCACUUUGAUUUACAUUGGGCUUGCACACACUUUGGUUGUAAGUCAGGUUUGGAGUGAAAUGUAGGCUCAGGCCUGCACUGUUACAUCCACUGCAGCUGUAAGUUAGCAGCUUUACUCUGUAUACUUUUCCUCCUGGUUAGUUUGUUCUCAUCUUUUUUGUUGUUGUUCAUAAUGAUAAACUGGUAAGCUCUUCUGAAAGUGAAUCCCCUGUUAGCUUUGUAGCUCCUGUGCCAGUUUCUUGUUAGCUUUGCUGCUUGUACUUCUGGAACUGAUUUGCAUUCCCUAAGCCAGAGCUGAAUCUCUUUGCUCUGAGUGCUUACUACUGCAUGGAUAUGCAUUUUUAAACAAUUAGCUGAGGAAUCCUACCCAUAGAACUUAACACAGGUUGAAGACAUUUUACAUAAACUGAUGUUUAAAUGGCUUUAAAACCAACUGCAAUUUUUUUUUCUGAUUUAUCUUUUCAUCUGGGAAUAGACAAGACAUAUGUUUAUGACUUUUAAAAUUAAUGCUCAGCUCUAAUUCUAGCAUCAUAUUUUUGAGACUUUAGUGAUGCAUGACUCUCUCCUCCAGAUG